UUAUGCUUUUCUCUAACCUAGCUCUUCUAGAUCAUGUGAUAGAAAUGGCACCUCAGAUACAGACUAAAGUAGUAAAUUAUUCAUCUAUAUGUGAUUUGCAUAUAAUUCACAUGGUAUUUAUUAUUAAAGGUCAAAAUGGGAGCCAUAGUUCAGAUUGGAAAAAUUAUUUGUUGGACACACGUAUCCAGCCUCAGAUUUGGCUCUUCCCCAUCCUCAUCUUUCCCAAGCCAAGGGAGUGGAUGCGAUCCACCAGUUCCUGCUUGCUAUCCAGUGCCUCAUCCAGAUUCUGUUCCAAGAUGUCCUUCUCUACCUGGGACAUGGAGAGAGACAGGAUGGCCCCAGAGUCAAGAACACUUGAAUUUAAGUCCUGCUUCUGACAAAUACUGGCUGUGUGACCUCGAGGAGAUGACAGCUUCUCAGUGGCUCCAGAUCUCUAGACCACGCUGCUGCCUUCUUAUCUGUGAUGCCUUCUUCCCUGGGAUGCUUCUAUACUACCAAUGGAUGUGGUGCAACUGAGAGAAAAAGGAAAAUUGUUCCAGUGAGGCAUGAAGCAAGUGCCUGUAUAUUUAUGGGCAGAGUCCAUGAGUUUGCUCUUGGGACCAAGCCAAGAGACUACACCUUGUACUCUUUCUUACAAUAACAGAUCUGUCCUUCCAGUAAAUAUCUCUAGGCUGGGGGGGGGGGGCUAAAUCAUACUUGGAAACUGAGGGACUUUAAGCUAUAAUCUCAGAUAUUAUUUGAUCCUAAUUAACUCAUUUCUUUUCUUGGGUGCCCUGAUUAUCAACCUGUGCAAGGUAAGACUACUGAAGCAUUUAUCCAUUGGUCUGUAGAUUAACCUGUACCCUCUGUACUUUGAGCAGGAAGGAACCAAGGAUAAUCCAAUGGAAAUUUACACCACCUAAUUUGUAGAGGUCAGUUUGGUGUCCUGGCAUUCUUUUAAGAUGAGGGUGUGGCUACUUCUAAGCAAGUUGGGCAGAUUCUUGCACUGUCAAGCUUCCAGGAAAUGAAAUAUCUGAGUAUGAGGGAUCCAUGAUAGGGUUUGCAAGAAUGUGGAACAAGAGCGGAUCACAGCUAUUAAUGUCUUGGUGGGGUCAAUUAGCAGUAAAGGGCCUUUUGUGUUGACUGCAGCAGAAACUAGGAGUCGUAGAGGUAGGUGAUUAAUUUAUGCAGUAGGAAAUGAAGAAAGAGACAAUGUGUGUAGGGGGACAGGAGAAGGAAUCCCUUUCAGGCACAGAUUCUUUUAGUCACACCUCACUUCAAUGAUUCCAUUCUUGUAAAAUGAAAAAUGACAGGUAACCUUUCUGAUACCUAGCAAAUAGGAGGAGAUCAAGCAGCUCUAUAUCAAGACGAAACUUGUCCAAUCCACCAAAACUCGAGUCUCUUUUCAUACAGUAGAUACUUAAUAAAUGCUUUUUGAAUUUAAUUAAAUUUUAUUUUACAGCUUAAAGUUGGCCUUUAUUAAUUCAGUCUCUUCUCUAACUUGAUUUCAUCUUCUCCCAAAGCUACCAUAAUUAUUGUAUUAUCUGUUUUGUCUCCCCUUAUUAAAGUUUUUUCUUAAUUUUAUUGUCAGUUCCAAAUUCUCCCCCUGCACCUCCUUCUCCACCCAUUGAGAA